rnacentral:snRNA from 1 species
GGAUGUGAGGGUGAUUUGGCUGCGAUAUCUGUCACCCAUUGAUUUGAGUGAUCUGUCUGGCUAGGCAGGCAUCCCCUUCCUCCCUCACCAUUCCUUGUGCGUUCCCUCCUGAAGCUGCAUGCUUGGCUGAACAGGUCGGUCUUUCCAGAAUAGAGACGGAUUGGUCUUCGGUUCAGGGUAUAGGAGUAGCUUCGCUCCCCUCCUAGAACCUCCAAGCAAGCUUCCAUUAGUUUGUGGGUUCCCAAGUAGAAUAUGUAGAAUAUGCAGACAUUUAAAAAGUUGAAU